GAAAUGCGAUAAGUAAUGUGAAUUGCAGAAUUCAGUGAAUAAUCGAAUCUUUGAACGCACAUUGCGCCCCCUGGUAUUCCGGGGGGCAUGCCUGUUCGAGCGUCAUUUCACCACUCAAGCCUCGCUUGGUAUUGGGCAACGCGGUCCGCCGCGUGCCUCAAAUCGACCGGCUGGGUCUUCUGUCCCCUAAGCGUUGUGGAAACUAUUCGCUAAAGGGUGUUCGGGAGGCUACGCCGUAAAACAACCCCAUUUCUAAGGUUGACCUCGGAUCAGGUAGGGAUACCCGCUGAACUUAAGC
rnacentral:misc_RNA from 1 species